AUGAAAAUCCAGAGAAGUAAUGUGACUAGCUCAAAAUUAUUCUGUUCUACCAGUUAAUGGCAGACCUGAGAUCAGAAUGCAAACUUUCUUCAAGAUCCAGCAUAAAUCUGUCCUCCCUGAGACCUUCUUCCAAGUUACAGUCUAUACAGGUUCAAGUAUUUUCAUCCCACACGCAGAUGACCUUGUCCACUCUACUUGGUAUCCUCUGGGUAUAGAAACUAGAGAAGAAGUGGCAAGAAUGUUGAAGAGAUGAAUGAGAUGAAGAGAUAAUGAUGAAGAUGAAGAGAUGAAGAGAUAAAUGAAUGUUAGAUCAUGAAGAAGCCCCUACCAAUUGGGUCUGGAUUUCUAGCUAAGUGUGAUUGUGCUUGUGCUUACAAGUCUAUAGAAGGCAGGAAGACCAGUUAGGAGACUGCUGUAAUAAUUCAGGAAACAGUUUUUAAUUUGGACAACCAGAUCUAUACUGAGCCCAUUCACUGAAAUAGGGAACCCAGGAGAAGUGAUCAGAAGUUUCUUUGUAGAGCACCUGGGUGGCUCAGUUGGUAAGCAUCUGCCUUUGAUCCAGGUCAUGAUCCUGGGGUUCUGAGAUUGAGCCCCACGUCAUCUGGCUCCCUGCUCAGUGGGGAGUCUGCUUCUCCUUCUC